rnacentral:rRNA from 1 species
AUACGUAGGGGGCGAGCGUUGUCCGGAAUGAUUGGGCGUAAAGGGCGCGUAGGCGGCGCGGUAAGUCUGGAGUGAAAGUCCUGCUUUCAAGGUGGGAAUUGCUUUGGAUACUGCCGCGCUUGAGUGCAGGAGAGGUUAUCGGAAUUCCCGGUGUAGCGGUGAAAUGCGUAGAGCUCGGGAGGAACACCAGUGGCGAAGGCGGGUAACUGGACUGCAACUGACGCUGAGGCGCGAAAGUGUGGGGAGCAAACAGGAUUAGAUACCCUGGUAGUCCACACUGUAAACGAUGAAUGCUAGGUGUAGGAGGUAUCGACCCCUUGUGUGCCGGAGUCAACACAAUAAGCAUUCCGCCUGGGGAGUACGGCCGCAAGGUUGAAACUCAAAUGAAUUGGCGGGG